rnacentral:rRNA from 1 species
UGGGGAAUAUUGGACAAUGGGCGGAAGCCUGAUCCAGCAACGCCGCGUGAGGGAUGACGGCCUUCGGGUUGUAAACCUCUUUCAGUACCGACGAAGCGAAAGUGACGGUAGGUACAGAAGAAGGACCGGCCAACUACGUGCCAGCAGCCGCGGUAAUACGUAGGGUCCGAGCGUUGUCCGGAAUUAUUGGGCGUAAAGGGCUCGUAGGCGGUUUGUCGCGUCGGGAGUGAAAACAGCGGGCUUAACUCGUUGCUUGCUUUCGAUACGGGCAGACUAGAGGUAUGCAGGGGAGAAUGGAAUUCCUGGUGUAGCGGUGAAAUGCGCAGAUAUCAGGAGGAACACCGGUGGCGAAGGCGGUUCUCUGGGCAUUACCUGACGCUGAGGAGCGAAAGUGUGGGGAGCGAACAGGAUUAGAUACCCUGAUAGUCCACACCGUAAAACGUUGGGCGNUAGGUGUGGGGUCCAUUUCCACGGGAUUCCUGCCNUGAGCUUAACGCAUUAAAGCGCCCCGCCUGGGGAGUACGGCCGCAGGCUAAAACUCAAAGGAAUUACGGGGU